GAUGAACGCUGGCGGCGUGCCUAAUACAUGCAAGUCGAGCGAACGGACGAGAAGCUUGCUUCUCUGAUGUUAGCGGCGGACGGGUGAGUAACACGUGGAUAACCUACCUAUAAGACUGGGAUAACUUCGGGAAACCGGAGCUAAUACCGGAUAAUAUUUUGAACCGCAUGGUUCAAAAGUGAAAGACGGUCUUGCUGUCACUUAUAGAUGGAUCCGCGCUGCAUUAGCUAGUUGGUAAGGUAACGGCUUACCAAGGCAACGAUGCAUAGCCGACCUGAGAGGGUGAUCGGCCACACUGGAACUGAGACACGGUCCAGACUCCUACGGGAGGCAGCAGUAGGGGAUCUUCCGCAAUGGGCGAAAGCCUGACGGAGCAACGCCGCGUGAGUGAUGAAGGUCUUCGGAUCGUAAAACUCUGUUAUUAGGGAAGAACAUAUGUGUAAGUAACUGUGCACAUCUUGACGGUACCUAAUCAGAAAGCCACGGCUAACUACGUGCCAGCAGCCGCGGUAAUACGUAGGUGGCAAGCGUUAUCCGGAAUUAUUGGGCGUAAAGCGCGCGUAGGCGGUUUUUUAAGUCUGAUGUGAAAGCCCACGGCUCAACCGUGGAGGGUCAUUGGAAACUGGAAAACUUGAGUGCAGAAGAGGAAAGUGGAAUUCCAUGUGUAGCGGUGAAAUGCGCAGAGAUAUGGAGGAACACCAGUGGCGAAGGCGACUUUCUGGUCUGUAACUGACGCUGAUGUGCGAAAGCGUGGGGAUCAAACAGGAUUAGAUACCCUGGUAGUCCACGCCGUAAACGAUGAGUGCUAAGUGUUAGGGGGUUUCCGCCCCUUAGUGCUGCAGCUAACGCAUUAAGCACUCCGCCUGGGGAGUACGACCGCAAGGUUGAAACUCAAAGGAAUUGACGGGGACCCGCACAAGCGGUGGAGCAUGUGGUUUAAUUCGAAGCAACGCGAAGAACCUUACCAAAUCUUGACAUCCUUUGACAACUCUAGAGAUAGAGCCUUCCCCUUCGGGGGACAAAGUGACAGGUGGUGCAUGGUUGUCGUCAGCUCGUGUCGUGAGAUGUUGGGUUAAGUCCCGCAACGAGCGCAACCCUUAAGCUUAGUUGCCAUCAUUAAGUUGGGCACUCUAAGUUGACUGCCGGUGACAAACCGGAGGAAGGUGGGGAUGACGUCAAAUCAUCAUGCCCCUUAUGAUUUGGGCUACACACGUGCUACAAUGGACAAUACAAAGGGCAGCGAAACCGCGAGGUCAAGCAAAUCCCAUAAAGUUGUUCUCAGUUCGGAUUGUAGUCUGCAACUCGACUACAUGAAGCUGGAAUCGCUAGUAAUCGUAGAUCAGCAUGCUACGGUGAGUACGUUCCCGGGUCU
rnacentral:rRNA from 1 species